UUGCCUCAGCUCAGAGAAGACUACCCGCUGGACUUAAGC
rnacentral:rRNA from 1 species